GGGGACAAGUAAUCAACUUUAAUACACGACGAAUGAGAUCGAACUCAGGUGUAAAUUAUUACCAAAAUUAGAAAAGUGGAGGAAAAUUUUCACACACUAUCAAGGUGUUGUGAGGUGAACUUGAAACUACUAGUUUGCAAAUCAAGACAAUUUUUGAAUCCGUUGGCGGCACACUAUCUUAAUUAACUGAUCUACAGAUAUAUUUUUAAUUAUUAAUUAGUUAAUAAAAGAGUUUUUAAAAGUCAACUUAUUCUUAAUGAACAAAAGUCAGAAUCUUUGAAGAUUGCGGAUGGUUGGCAAAGUGGUUUGAAAUGAGCAAUUUCUUGACAAACUCAAGAGAGUAACAAAAAUGUGUUGGAAUUGACACACAAGCAUUAGGUAAAAAAAAAAGAAAAAGAUAUAUAAUUAAAACAAAAGAGCAUUAUCCAUAGUGGCAAGAAAUGUGUUUGAUAACCAAUAAUCACCUGCAUAGAUUAUUCAUAGUGGC
rnacentral:lncRNA from 1 species